rnacentral:rRNA from 1 species
CAUAUCAAUAAGCGGAGGAAAAGAAACUAACAAGGAUUCCCCUAGUAACUGCGAGUGAAGCGGGAAAAGCUCAAAUUUAAAAUCUGGCAGCCUUUGGUUGUCCGAGUUGUAAUCUAGAGAAGUGUUAUCCGCGCUGGACCGUGUACAAGUCUCCUGGAAUGGAGCGUCAUAGAGGGUGAGAAUCCCGUCUUUGACACGGACUGCCAGGGCUUUGUGAUGCGCUCUCAAAGAGUCGAGUUGUUUGGGAAUGCAGCUCAAAAUGGGUGGUAAAUUCCAUCUAAAGCUAAAUAUUGGCGAGAGACCGAUAGCGAACAAGUACCGUGAGGGAAAGAUGAAAAGAACUUUGGAAAGAGAGUUAAACAGUACGUGAAAUUGCUGAAAGGGAAACGCUUGAAGUCAGUCGCGUUGUCCAGGGAUCAACCUUGCUUUUGCUUGGUGCAUUUUCUGGUUGACGGGUCAGCAUCAAUUUUGACCAUUGGAAAAAGAUUAGGGGAAUGUGGCAUCUUUGGAUGUGUUAUAGCCCUUGGUUGCAUACAAUGGUUGGGAUUGAGGAACUCAGCACGCCGCAAGGCCGGGUUUUUAACCACGUACGUGCUUAGGAUGCUGGCAUAAUGGCUUUAAUCGACCCGUCUUGAAACACGGACCAAGGAGUCUAACAUGCCUGCGAGUGUUUGGGUGGAAAACCCGAGCGCGUAAUGAAAGUGAAAGUUGAGAUCCCUGUCGUGGGGAGCAUCGACGCCCGGACCAGACCUUUUGUGACGGCUCCGCGGUAGAGCAUGUAUGUUGGGACCCGAAAGAUGGUGAACUAUGCCUGAAUAGGGUGAAGCCAGAGGAAACUCUGGUGGAGGCUCGUAGCGAUUCUGACGUGCAAAUCGAUCGUCAAAUUUGGGUAUAGGGGCGAAAGACUAAUCGAACCAUCUAGUAGCUGG